UCAGGAUGAACGCUAGCGGCAGGCUUAACACAUGCAAGUCGAGGGGGCAUCGGGAGUAGCAAUACUGCCGGCGACCGGCGCAAGGGUGCGUAACGCGUGAGCAACAUGCCCGUAUCAGGGGGAUAAUCCAUGGAAACGUGGUCUAAUACCCCAUAGUAAUUAUGUAAGGCAUCUUAUAUAAUUUAAAGCUUUGGUGGAUACGGAUUGGCUCGCGUGACAUUAGCUGGAUGGUAAGGUAACGGCUUACCAUGGCUACGAUGUCUAGGGGUUCUGAGGGGAAGGUCCCCCACACUGGAACUGAGACACGGUCCAGACUCCUACGGGAGGCAGCAGUGAGGAAUAUUGGACAAUGGAUGGAAAUCUGAUCCAGCCAUGCCGCGUGCAGGAAGAACCGGCCCUAUGGGUUGUAAACUGCUUUUGUAUGGGAGCAAUAAGGGCUACGUGUAGUCCGAUGAGAGUACCAUACGAAUAAGCACCGGCUAACUCCGUGCCAGCAGCAGC
rnacentral:rRNA from 1 species